rnacentral:misc_RNA from 1 species
AAUCAGCUGAGCGCGACGCACGUAAUAUUAUUUUGUAAACAUGGAAGGACCACCAGCCAAGAAGAGACGACCUAAUUUCAGUGAGGCUGAAGUAUACGCUCUUGUGACUGAGGUAGCCAAACGAAAAGAAAUGAUUUUAGGGAAGUUGGACUCGGUAGUUGUACACUUCAACUCAAAAACCAUGCCUGGGGUGAAGUGUUAAAUGCGGUGAAUGCUGUUGGUAGAGUCACCCGCAAUGUUACUGAAAUUCGGCGGAAGAUCUUCGUGUUAGCGUUAAGAAAAAUGCAGCACAAGAUAAGAAAUAUGCUGGUGGAACAGGAGGCGGCCCCCAAAUUGAAAAUACCCUGUACAUACACUGCAAUUGACGAAGCAGUUCUUCAUCUCUUAGAUCCAGCUUUUAUACAUGGAAUUCCAGCGAUUUUGAAAAAAGUGCUCUUCACCAAUUGUUCCGGCUAACCGAGAUCUUGUAGUGGUUACUCUACCAUGCAGCAACUCCUCUUCCAAGCAGCAACUUCCCAGCACCAGACUGGUUUGUAUAUAAUAUAUUUUAUAUAAGAAACCACCA